AAGUCGUAACAAGGUCUCCGUUGGUGAACCAGCGGAGGGAUCAUUAAAGAGUUGCAAAACUCCCAAACCAUAUGUUUACCUUACCCGUUUCGUUGCUUCGGCAGGCGGCUCUCCGGAGCCUUCGCCCUCUGGGUGCCUGCCGGAGUAUCCAAAACUCUUGUUAAUUACUGUUCUGUCUGAGUAAAACUUUAAUAAGUUAAAACUUUCAACAACGGAUCUCUUGGUUCUG
rnacentral:misc_RNA from 1 species